rnacentral:rRNA from 1 species
AGAGCGAACGCUGGCGGCAUGCUUAACACAUGCAGGUCGCACGGGCAGGGGUAACUCUGUCAGUGGCGGACGGGUGAGUAACGCGUAGGUAUCUAUCCUCGGGUGGGGGACAACCACGGGAAACUGUGGCUAAUACCGCAUGAUGACUGAGGUCCAAAGGCGCAAGUCGCCUGGGGAGGAGCCUGCGUCCGAUUAGCUUGUUGGUGGGGUAAAGCCUACCAAGGCUCCGAUCGGUAGCUGGUCUGAGAGGAUGAUCAGCCACACUGGGACUGAGACACGGCCCAGACUCCUACGGGAGGCAGCAGUGGGGAAUAUUGGACAAUGGGCGCAAGCCUGAUCCAGCAAUGCCGCGUGAGUGAAGAAGGUCUUCGGAUUGUAAAGCUCUUUCGACGGGGUACGAUGAUGACGGUACCCGUAGAAGAAGCCCGGCUAACUUCGUGCCAGCAGCCGCGGU